GCCUGGGUGGCUCAGUCAGUUAAGCAUCUGACUUUGGCUCAGGUCAUAAUCUCAUGAUUUGUGCGUUCGAGCCCCACAUCAGGCU
rnacentral:tRNA from 1 species